rnacentral:rRNA from 1 species
GCAAGUCGAGGGGUAACAGAGGUAGCUUGCUACUUGCUGACGACCGGCGCACGGGUGCGUAACGCGUAUACAAUCUGCCUUAUACAGAGGGAUAGCCUUUAGAAAUGAAGAUUAAUACCUCAUGGUCUAUUAAUAUAGCAUUAUAUAAAUAGUAAAGCUUCGGCGGUAUAAGAUGAGUAUGCGUCCUAUUAGUUAGUUGGUAAGGUAACGGCUUACCAAGACUACGAUAGGUAGGGGCCCUGAGAGGGGGAUCCCCCACACUGGUACUGAGACACGGACCAGACUCCUACGGGAGGCAGCAGUGAGGAAUAUUGGACAAUGGAGGAAACUCUGAUCCAGCCAUGCCGCGUGCAGGAAGACGGCCCUAUGGGUUGUAAACUGCUUUUAUAUAGGAAGAAACCUUUUCACGUGUGAGAAGCUGACGGUACUAUAAGAAUAAGGACCGGCUAACUCCGUGCCAGCAGCCGCGGUAAUACGGAGGGUCCGAGCGUUAUCCGGAAUCAUUGGGUUUAAAGGGUCCGUAGGCGGAAUCUAAGUCAGUGGUGAAAUCUUACAGCUCAACUGUAAAAUUGCCAUUGAUACUGGGUUUCUUGAAUUAGUGUGAAGUGAUUAGAAGGUGGUAGUGUAGCGGUGAAAUGCAUAGAUAUUAC